UUGUGCAGUGUUGUGUCUUGUUGUGUCUUCGUGUGUUACGUUCUGUUGUGAUAUGUUGUCUCGUCAUGUGAUCUGAUCUGAUGGGAUGUGAUGAUUAAUGAUGUCACAUAAUAUCAGGUCAUGUGAUGUGAGCUACAUUUUGUUUCAUCAAAAUGAACUUUUUGGUUCAUUGAAUGUCCCAUCAAGGUGAGUUUGAUUCCUACACAAUGUUUGUUUUCAGCAUGGGAUCCUUUUUGAUUAUUAUUAUUAUUUUUUUUUCUUUAGGAACAGGAGCUGAAAUCUAAAGAAGAGCCCUGAACAACAGAACAGAGGAGACAGGAUGAGGUUGAAUGAACAGACCGACAACGAGAAGAAGAAAAGACGAGAGACAAGUGUCGAUGCUGAGACCUCAAAGCAAACAGAGGAGUCCAUUUAAAGAGGAGACGGACGAGUUUGGAGACAACAAGAGGUCGGCACAACAUUUAGAAUCAGCUGCAAAAACAGAGUUUGCAAACCAAAUCUGAAUAAAUAUAGAUCCAUGAAUAACCUCUUCUGUCAACUGUUGGUAUUUUCUUUUUAUUUUGAUGUAGGGAUAAUUUAUAUAUCCUUAAUAAUAUCACCUUAUUAAGGAAAAAACAGGUUUUCUCCAAAAUGUUUAAUAUCCUGACUCUGAAUUAUUUAAUUUUAAGUUUAUGUUUUGCUGCUGUUAUCAUAUACCCAAUAUGAUGCAAUCCUGAAAUCGAACAGAGGAGUUGAUCAAAUUUCCAAUUUCAAGUACAUAUUUGACAAAAUAUCUGUUGAAAGACAUUUAUAUUUUCUUUUGGAGAAAGAUCCACAGUGGAGAGGAAUUGUGUCUGUAUUGUGUCAAACGAUAUCAAAACAUGGAAGAAAGAAGAAACUCUUUCCAUUGUCACAACCCGGCUCUUAGGCUGCAACAAAAAUAGGAGUUGAAGACGAGGUCUACCAAAAUAACACCAAAUUUAUUCACAAUGAUCAAUUGUGA